UACGGGGGGGGCAAGCGUUGUCCGGAAUUAUUGGGCGUAAAGAGCUCGUAGGCGGUCUGUCGCGUCGGCUGUGAAAUCCCGGAGCUCAACUCCGGGUCUGCAGUCGAUACGGGCAAACUGGAGUACUGCAGGGGAGACUGGAAUUCCUGGUGUAGCGGUGAAAUGCGCAGAUAUCAGGAGGAACACCGGUGGCGAAGGCGGGUCUCUGGGCAGUAACUGACGCUGAGGAGCGAAAGCGUGGGGAGCGAACAGG
rnacentral:rRNA from 1 species